GUCCACGCCGUAAACGAUGUCGAUUUGGAGGCUGUGUCCUUGAGACGUGGCUUCCGGAGCUAACGCGUUAAAUCGACCGCCUGGGGAGUACGGCCGCAAGGUUAAAACUCAAAUGAAUUGACGGGGCCCGCACAAGCGGUGGAGCAUGUGGUUUAAUUCGACGAUACACGAAGAACCUUACCUGGCCUUGACAUGUCUGGAAUCCUGUAGAGAUGCGGGAGUGCCUUCGGGAAUCAGAACACAGGUGCUGCAUGGCUGUCGU
rnacentral:rRNA from 1 species